rnacentral:sRNA from 1 species
GCUGGUGACGUAGUGAGUGUGAUGGCCGCCGCGAGGCCGGGAAGGUGAAGUCAGGACUGGUGGAGUCAACACAGUCAAUCAAUAGCCAACCUCAACCUGAGACAGGACAGAAGAGAACUCAGAAUCUUUUUGUCUUUUGGACUUCAGCCAUGUCCAUGAUGCCUGCCCUGUGAAGAUCUCUCACCAUCCAAAAAACGCAAUGUCCCUGCUCUUCUCUCGAUGCAACUCUAUCGUCACAGUCAAGAAAGAUAAGAGACACAUGGCUGAGGUGAAUGCAUCCCCACUUAAGCACUUUGUCACUGCCAAGAAGAAGAUCAAUGGCAUUUUUGAGCAGCUGGGGGCCUACAUCCAGGAGAGCGCCACCUUCCUUGAAGGAAACUAAGACCCAGAAAGGUUCUUUUGCUUGAGGCCACAGAGCUAGAAAGUGGUAAGAACCAGCUUCAAAAACAGGCAGUGUUGCUCCUGAGCCAUCUUCUUAACCCCCACACUGUGGGGCCACCAUAGAGGAUCUGGAGCUCAGCCUGUCGGCUGCGGGGUGCCAGAGGUGGACUCGUUUAGGACACGUACAGGAAUGCAGAACUGGACCCCGUUACCACAGAAGAACAGGUUCUGGACGUCAAAGGUUACCUAUCCAAAGUGAGAGGC